rnacentral:rRNA from 1 species
GACGAACGCUGGCGGCGUGCCUAACACAUGCAAGUCGAGCGGUAAGGCCCUUUCGGGGGUACACGAGCGGCGAACGGGUGAGUAACACGUGGGUGACCUGCCCUUAGCUCUGGGAUAAGCCUGGGAAACGUGGGUCUAAUACCGGAUAUGACUCCAUGACGCAUGUUGUGGGGUGGAAAGCCUUGUGCGGCUAGGGAUGGGCCCGCGGCCUAUCAGCUUGUUGGUGGGGUGAUGGCCUACCAAGGCGACGACGGGUAGCCGGCCUGAGAGGGCGACCGGCCACACUGGGACUGAGACACGGCCCAGACUCCUACGGGAGGCAGCAGUGGGGAAUCUUGCGCAAUGGGCGAAAGCCUGACGCAGCGACGCCGCGUGGGGA